rnacentral:rRNA from 1 species
CUUGCUUCUCUUGAGAGCGGCGGACGGGUGAGUAAUGCCUAGGAAUCUGCCUGGUAGUGGGGGAUAACGUUCGGAAACGGACGCUAAUACCGCAUACGUCCUACGGGAGAAAGCAGGGGACCUUCGGGCCUUGCGCUAUCAGAUGAGCCUAGGUCGGAUUAGCUAGUUGGUGAGGUAAUGGCUCACCAAGGCGACGAUCCGUAACUGGUCUGAGAGGAUGAUCAGUCACACUGGAACUGAGACACGGUCCAGACUCCUACGGGAGGCAGCAGUGGGGAAUAUUGGACAAUGGGCGAAAGCCUGAUCCAGCCAUGCCGCGUGUGUGAAGAAGGUCUUCGGAUUGUAAAGCACUUUAAGUUGGGAGGAAGGGCAGUUGCCUAAUACGUAACUGUUUUGACGUUACCGACAGAAUAAGCACCGGCUAACUCUGUGCCAGCAGCCGCGGUAAUACAGAGGGUGCAAGCGUUAAUCGGAAUUACUGGGCGUAAAGCGCGCGUAGGUGGUUUGUUAAGUUGGAUGUGAAAUCCCCGGGCUCAACCUGGGAACUGCAUUCAAAACUGACUGACUAGAGUAUGGUAGAGGGUGGUGGAAUUUCCUGUGUAGCGGUGAAAUGCGUAGAUAUAGGAAGGAACACCAGUGGCGAAGGCGACCACCCUGGACUGAUACUGACACUGAGGUGCGAAGCGUGGGGAGCAAACAGGAUUAGAUACCCUG